UUUGCGGUUUGCCAAAAUGUUCAAUUUUGGUGAUUAAAAGGGAAGGUUGUGUGAAUCAACCGCUGUCCCGCAGCCGUGAGUCUCAAGACUGAGUUCCAAUUCUGAUGGUCACUGUCGUAAGAUGGGAAGGCCGGAACAAAGGAGACGAGCCGGAAGACCUGCCGUAAACG
rnacentral:ncRNA from 1 species